CGAGGGGAUAGUGAAGCUCCGACCGCUGUACGCAUCAAGGCGUGGGGUGCCAGGAGCAGCACUUCGACCUUAGGUUUGGUUUUUGCCGGGCUUUACAACCAACGGUCCGACAUUGAGAAAGUUGGUCGAGGGGAUAGUGAAGCUCCGACCGCUGUACGCAUCAAGGCGUGGGGUGCCAGGAGCAGCACUUCGACCUUAGGUUUGGUUUUUGCCGGGCUUUACAACCAACGGUCCGACAUUGAGGUCCGUAGACCGCGCAAACGUCCCCAUGGAAGGCGUAAAGUUCCAACCGGCGGCUUUUUAGUGGCUAACAGGCAUUUUGGAAAUAAAAGAAAAUAUUUGAAAAACAAAUAUAAGUUUAAAUUGUAAAUUCAAUUAU
rnacentral:lncRNA from 1 species